UACAGAGGUCCCGAGCGUUGUUCGGAUUUAUUGGGCGUAAAGGGUGCGUAGGCGGCGGAGUAAGUUGGGUGUGAAAUCCCGGGGCUCAACCUCGGAAUUGCAUUCAAUACUGCUUCGCUCGAGUACUGGAGAGGAGGCUGGAAUUUACGGUGUAGCAGUGAAAUGCGUAGAUAUCGUAAGGAGGGCCGGUGGCGAAAGCGAGCCUCUGGACAGUUACUGACGCUGAUGCACGAAGGCCAGGGGAGCAAACGGG
rnacentral:rRNA from 1 species